ensembl:lncRNA
AGAUGUGAAGGGUGACUCCUCUCUACCUGCUCAGGAUAGCGUGUCGUGUGGCCGCAGUAGUGGUGGCUCUACCUCUUCUCUCUCCACCCCCCCUUCCAUCUCCCACAGCCCCCCCCAGCCGCCUCAGCUCAACGGGGUUGCCAUGGGAACAAUGCUGCUGGGAGGGGGAGCUGGGCUAGGGAUGGGGGGGAUAGUGGGGGUUCUGAACAGAGUCAUACAGACCACUUCCAGCCCUCACACAUACAGCUACACACAUACCUCCUCACCGGGCCCCAGCACCGCUCUGCCCAUCUCCAGCUCCAUCAACACCAGGAACAGCAGCAGGUGUUAUUUUACCAGUUGAUGCAGCAACAACAAGACCUCCACCAACUCCAGUCUUCCUCCUCCCAGCUUCCCUCCAUCCCUCUCUCCUCUGCUCAGCUGCCCAUCACCUCCCUUCUUUCCUCCUCCAACGCCCACGGCACCAUCACCGCCAACCCCUUCCUGGCUCGGCACACACACCCCGACACACACACACACCCCGACACACACACACACGCCGCUGCACAGAAGCCCCGGCUGGCUGAGAAAGCUGUUGGAGUCACUGGACAGGAGAAGACCUGACCCACAAAACAUAUCUCUCUCUUUUCUCUAUCCAUCUCUCUCUCUCUCUUUCUGUUGGUGAUUCUGUCUACUCUCUAUCCAUCUCUCUAUUCAUCCAUCUCUCUCGCUCUCUCUCUCUCUCUCUCUCUCUCUCUCUCAGGGGUCUCCACCAUCAUGUGAUCAGUGCUGUGUGUUUAACCACACAAGCUCACCCACAUAGAACUACAAACUCCAAAAAACGAUCAGGACACUAACAUAGCUGACUGACUCACAGCUCAGCUGGAGAGAUGCGGUCUGGGAAGUAUGACUCUCAUUGGACAGUUUUAAGAGAGGGAGGAGUUUGUAACUGCUUUUACCUCUCUAUAUCUGUGUGUAUGGACCAGCAUAAGACCUGACCAGAGACCACUCUAAUGUAAGACUGACUGACUGCUCAGCCAUGGAAGCCUUGCUAUGACUGUCUUUCUGCUGUACCUACCUCACACACACAAACCAGCCGAUUAGUGCCCACAACUCUCAGCAUCGGCCAAUAGGAAUCCACAACAUUCAUGACUGGCCAGUCAGGGUCCAAUCCCCAAGUGCCUAAAGCCGAGGGGGCGGGGUUACUCAUACUCCUCUUCCUGUCUCUCCUGUCAGACAUCCAUUCUCACCAUAUUACUGGCUGUCAAGCUGCGUUGCCCAGGCAACAGGUCACACAACACAUUCUGAGAAGCUGGAAGCUGUAUUGUGCUGCUUUCACAAACUACAGAAACAAACUUUAUAAAUGGUCUCUUUUUAUUUAUUUAGAAGUGCCCGCUGUUCUUACAAGCGUUUGUUUUAUACUAAUGUUUGAAGUUUUUCUCACUCUUGCUGUAAACAUUUUUGAUGGAAACAGAUACUUGUUGUGUACUCAGAAAGAUUGAAGUAGUGGUGGUGGUGUAUAUAGCUGCUAUUGUGGGGAGGGGUGUGGAUUCAAUAACACAGUUUUUACCUCGUUUGUGUAAAUAAAUAUAUAUUUUUCAUUGGCUGUGGGGUGUAAAUAAGUGAUUGUGAUUGGCCCUGCUGGUGUGAAGGAUAGCCAAUAAACCUCAUUUUGUGUGACUCUUAUGAGCAGACAACAGGAGACGGUGACUGAACACAAAGUGUUAAUUUAUUUUUAUAUGUGCAGCGACAUUGUUUCGUUGUUUUUCUAAGUUUCACAACGGUUAUUUUAUACUCGGCACCAUGUUUCCGUCUGUGUUCACUUUUGUUUGGAUCAGUUUUGUACAACUGAAAAAUCAUAAAACAUCCUCAAAUGUUUCUAUUUCAAGUCACUGAAAUAAAGAAGCGUUCCGGAUAAAGAAAGAGACGGACUGUUGGUGAAAAGACGAGGAGGAGGACUUACAGGAAGCCUGUGUCGGGAUGUCGUCAUGGUUUGGUUUGUGAGAACAUCGGUAAAGCUUGAUUUAACAGCUCUGUUCAAGUGCUUUUUGUAAAAUGCAUUUUAAUGCUUUGGUUGAAUAAAGAACAGAUCUACCUCCC